rnacentral:lncRNA from 1 species
ACAAAAUGAAUGAUUUCAAACAAGUAGGGUAUCAUAAUGCAAGACAGAAUACAAGAAUUCUCAAGAUACCAUAUCAUUAGAUACAAAAUCAUAAGUGUCAUGUCAUUCAAAACAUAUUUGGUUCAUAACAGAUGGAGCAUAGAGUAAUUGGAGCAUAUCAAUAGCGUAUGAGAUGUUCCGGAGCAUAUCAAUGGCAGAUAGGACAUUUCAGAACAUAUCACUUCAUAGCAAAUGGAGCAUAGAGUAACUAGAGCAUAUCAAUAGCGUAUGAAAUGUUCCGGAGCAUAUCAAUGACAUAUGGAACAUUUCGAAGCGUAACAAUAACAAAUGAAACAUUUCGGAGCAUAUCAAAGGCGUAUGAAAUGUUUCGGAGCAUAUCAAUGACAAAUGAAACAUUUCGGAACAUAUCAAUGGCAUAUGGACCAUUUCGAAGCAUAUCAAAGAACGAAUACGAAAUAGAAGCUCAUACAUCGUACCCUAGCAUAGUGCAUGUGAGGUUUAACUCAGUGGUGGCUCCACGCCGUGAUGGGUUCUCGACUCCAUCCACGGGUAGCCCUUUCCUACUCG